ACGAGAUGGACUGUACCACUUCGACUGGUUGGGAAAGUAUGUGUGUUUACAGCACUGGGGAAGGACAUUGUUUCCUGUUAUUAUGCUAUCGUGCGUUACUACGGAGUAAUGCUAUGCUGCAGAUGGUUGUAGUAGUCAUUACGGUUAGAAAGUAGGGGGAAAGACCGAAAAUAGUACGCUUCCUAUACCUCCCCGCUUUCGCAAAAGGGCUGGUGGUCUGUUCCGCCCGAGAUGGCCGGCUGUCGCACAUCAUGGGAAUUAGCCAGCAGAGAGACGGAGAGUGGAGCUAGACAGAAGCUGCAGAGAGGGGAACAAUGGAUCUGGAGUUUCAAUGUGCGUCGCUGAAUGGCACCCCCAGCCCUUGAGCUCUGGGGCCAGAUUUACCAUUCUUUGCCUCAGAGACAUCUGUUUACCACCCUGUCUUUGCAGGAACACUGAACUAAAAAGAAUCGACUGAUCAGGUUAUGAAAGUACGCGAGCAAGCGCCCCUCAGGAAACGCACAAACCCAGUAGGGCACCGCAGUGUCAUUUUUAGGAAACGCACUCAAAUAUUUUAUAAGGACAUCGGAAUACCAUUUAGAAGUGACUCCUGGCCAGCGGAGGAACAUUCCAUGGAAGUCGCUGACCGGCAAUAACAGUCCGUCACUGAGCUGUGGGGGCAGGACCCAUGGGAUGGGUGCGCCUCUUCUUCGGAACACCAAUGCCGGGCGUGCCGGGUGGCCCACCCAACCCCCGGCGUUCCCACUACUCCCAGUUCCAACAGUGACAUAGCAAUGCUGGGUGGAUCCGCACAUCCCCCGCACGUAAACACACAUGCACGCAGACAGCGUCUAGACCAAGAAAGUACAGAUUGAGGUUUCUUGUUAAAUGGGAAUUAUGUUCAACAACAGAGCACGAUCUUGAGUGGGGGAAAAAGUAGAGAAAGACGCAGAAAACUACAAAAAAAAGUGAUGUUUACAGACGAUGGGUGAACCUUAAAGUGGCAAUGACCAGAUACGAAAAGGCUGAAUCCCUCCAUCAAACUGGAACAUGGAGUUGAAUCGCCCAAGAUCUAAGAAGCUGAUUAAGGUAAAUCGUAAUUUUCUGAGUUUUUCUGUGGAAGAUAAGAUGGAGAUCAGGACCGAUGAGCAGUCGGGGGAGAUGCACGACAGCUGCUCCCUGCUGACACUGAGAUCUUGAGCUUCAGCCUGGAAGGAACAUUGUGGUUCAAUCAGACGUUAAUCAUCCCAUUUUUAGUUGCAGAUGUGGUUACUGUUACCUUGGUCUACACAACAAUGGACCAAAUCCAGCAAGAGAUAACGGAGUGCAGAUAAAAUCACAUGACUUGUAUGUAUACAGGUGUAGCUGUUGGAUUUCAGCACCUGGUCCUUGGGAUCCUUAAGGUCACUUUCUCUGAUUUCCACCGAUCAUGCAGGGAAUCAGCCUGGACUGAGAGAAUGAGCACAUUGUAAUAUUCAAAUCACAUUAAGCCUCUUGAGCUUGAGUCAUACCAGACUUCCCCAGCGCUGCCCAGUCAUGGCAUCCUCUGCAGAUAACAGGGGGGCAGAACAGUUAAAAAUGCCGCAACUGCUAGGUGACGCAUGACCAGUCCUGACCACUUUUACCCACCCUGGGAGAAGUUGAAAGGGUUGGGCGGGGGGAGAGGUCACGUCUGGCUGGGCAACCUGCUGAGAGACACUGCUGCAGCUUUUAGUGUGGCUAGGGGGGGGUUUACAGGGGCGGGAUCAUGUGACAUGUCACUGAGUGGAGCGGACACUGAUGGGAAAAAAGCCCCCAGGAAGAGCCAUCUGACACACACAGGGAGUCUUUCUCAUUUAAAACAAGCUGUUGUUCUGUGCACCAGAGGUGAUCGCCAUGCAUGGGGGAGGGUGAGCUCUGAGGGACAUUGGCUGUCAUAAAGGGCGAACGCACACCCUGAUUGGUCGGCCAGCUAAUUAACAUGAUCUGUCCUUUUAAAAAUCCUACCCAUCACACCCUUGAGUGUUCCCCAUUUUAUCUUUAAAAGGCUGGAACACAAACUAAUGUUCCGCUUGCUUGACCCUGUGACCCGAACACCUGUACCUGUCCUCCCUACUCCCACUUUACUGCCUGUACUAUGUUACUAAGCAUUACUUAGAGUUACGCAGAAAAAGCCUAAAAUGUAGGAUUCUCCUGUUGUGUUUAAAGUAUUAAUUAUUAAAAACAUUUUCCUACUCUGA